rnacentral:rRNA from 1 species
GUCUUUGGCCGUCCGAGUUGUAAUCUAGAGAAGUGAUGCCCGCGCUGGACCGUGUACAAGUCUCCUGGAAUGGAGCGUCAUAGAGGGUGAGAAUCCCGUCUCUGACACGGACUACCAGGGCUUUGUGGUAUGCUCUCAAAGAGUCGAGUUGUUUGGGAAUGCAGCUCAAAAUGGGUGGUAAAUUCCAUCUAAAGCUAAAUAUUGGCGAGAGACCGAUAGCGAACAAGUACCGUGAGGGAAAGAUGAAAAGAACUUUGGAAAGAGAGUUAAACAGUACGUGAAAUUGCUGAAAGGGAAACGCUUGAAGUCAGUCGCGUCGGCAAGGAAUCAGCCUCGCAAUAUUGCGUGGUGUACUUUCUUGUUGACGGGUCAGCAUCAAUUUUGACUGUUGGAGAAAGGUUUGGGGAAUGUGGCAGCUUUGGCUGUGUUAUAGCCUCAAGUCAUAUACAGCAGUUGGGAUUGAGGAACUCAGCACGCCGCAAGGCCGGGUUUCGACCACGUACGUGCUUAGGAUGCUGGCAUAAUGGCUUUAAGCGACCCGUCUUGAAACACGGACCAAGGAGUCUAACAUGCCUGCGAGUGUUUGGGUGGCAAACCCGAGCGCGUAAUGAAAGUGAAAGUUGAGAUCCCUGUCGUGGGGAGCAUCGACGCCCGGACCAGAUCUUUUGGGACGGAUCUGCGGUAGAGCAUGUAUGUUGGGACCCGAAAGAUGGUGAACUAUGCCUGAAUAGGGUGAAGCCAGAGGAAACUCUGGUGGAGGCUCGUAGCGAUUCUGACGUGCAAAUCGAUCGUCAAAUUUGGGUAUAGGGGCGAAGACU